UUUAUGUGAUUAUAAAUUAUCAAAUGUAACAGUGACCAUAAAUCAAUGGAUUAUGACAUGUUUAAUCAUAGAAUAUCAAUUGCUAGCCAACAUUUGGAUGUUAAAAAACAUUAAUCAUGAGCCAAAUAAACAGGGAAGUGGAUUUCAUGAAUUUUUUCAUCAAACUGCAUGAGCAAAAUAGCUUGUCAUGUAACCUUACACCUCUAGUCCAUGAUUCCUUCGAAAUGUUCUCCCCUGAAAUGGACAAAGAGAUAGUAAAUGAUUUGCAUGCUUUAUCAAAGGUAACACCUGUUGGGCAUGAAAAACAUAACCAUUUUUCAGUGUCAGGAAUGGCAACAUCAUUUGACAUUUAUGUUUCUCCUUAGAAAUAUCAAGGCUAGUAGGACGUUGAAGUAGCUAAAUAAUGGACGGUGAAUGAAAUCAAAUCCUGCGCUGUAGGCAGAAUUAAACUACGAGAUAAUAUUAUCAAUGGCAAAUGAUAGCCAUUAUUAGAUAAGAACUGCCAGAUAGCAGAAAUAAGAAAAAUCCUCUUUGCAAUCAGGAGAAGCAGAGCCAAAUCAACAGAGUAACACAUAUGUAACUCUGUUAUACUUCUGAAUAUAUAUAGUGAGCAUUUCAUUAAGCAAAUAAUUAGCAUAUUUGAAUAUUAUAACUGAUAUAGUUGGUUUCCAACUAUCAAAUAUUUUCUCUCGAUCCUUUUUUUUGCUGAACUAGAUGUACUAUUCAUGCAAUCAUGCUCAUAACAAAAGAUACAUUAUUGUUCUAUUCUCUAAUUCACUAAGGUAAUGAAGAAAUUUCAAGUAAAAUAUGUUCUGUGAUCUUUUAUUUUUUUAUUUUCCGGGUGAAACAUAACAUGCUAUGUGAUUGUUGGAUACACGGAUGCAAUCAAAACAUUGCGCCAAUUUCGUGUCCCCUGUCUAUCGGAUUUUACUUGGUUGUGUGAUGUGAAAAUUCUGAACAUGUUAUCAGUUUUCUACUAACUUCGAAUCUUAAUUCCAUUUUUGUUUGAAUGCAGGGGCACAGGUGCGGCUGUGGGCAGUGGCUAGACCAAUUUGUACUACUUGCCAGAAAGCAGCAACUACAAACAGACAAGGGAGGCGGCUAGACAGACCUGUAUGAUCGCAUCACUUGAGAUCAAGUGGAGUGAGUCCAAUAAAUAGCACUCGGGCAUGAAACGUCAGAGGUGGAAUCGUUAGCUGGUAGCUCCAAGGCAAC
rnacentral:lncRNA from 1 species